rnacentral:lncRNA from 1 species
GUCUCUUCUCUGCCUUUUCAUAUGAUUUGUAUUAGCGUUCACUUUUUACAUGCUGAGAGAUUGUAUACUGAUGUGAAUGAUAUACAUUUGCUUGGCUUGGUGUUUUGAAGACACAUACUUGAAUGUUUUUCUAAACACAGCUGCCCCCCUGGAAUACAAAUGAGAAAAUCAUCCAGAAAACCAAAUAUGUUAAAAUAUUAAUAGCAUGUAUGUAUACUUUCCAUAAAGCAAAAGUGACAUGAAGUAGUCUUAAUAUUUUUUAGUUUAUUUGAAUGAGUUGAUUGUACUAACUAGAUGUGUUUAUGAUUAUAUU